rnacentral:rRNA from 1 species
AUUGAACGCUGGCGGCAGGCCUAACACAUGCAAGUCGAGCGGAUGAAGGGAGCUUGCUCCUGGAUUCAGCGGCGGACGGGUGAGUAAUGCCUAGGAAUCUGCCUGGUAGUGGGGGAUAACGUCCGGAAACGGGCGCUAAUACCGCAUACGUCCUGAGGGAGAAAGUGGGGGAUCUUCGGACCUCACGCUAUCAGAUGAGCCUAGGUCGGAUUAGCUAGUUGGUGGGGUAAAGGCCUACCAAGGCGACGAUCCGUAACUGGUCUGAGAGGAUGAUCAGUCACACUGGAACUGAGACACGGUCCAGACUCCGACGGGAGGCAGCAGUGGGGAAUAUUGGACAAUGGGCGAAAGCCUGAUCCAGCCAUGCCGCGUGUGUGAAGAAGGUCUUCGGAUUGUAAAGCACUUUAAGUUGGGAGAAAGGGCAGUAAGUUAAAACCUGGCUGUUUGGACGUUACCAACAGAAUAAGCACCGGCAAACUUCGU